AUUUAUUUAGUAUAAAAGUAUAAUUGACUUCCAAUCAAUAGGACUGAUUAAAUAUCAGAAUAAAUA
rnacentral:tRNA from 1 species